UUUUCGGAACCACUGUCCUAGGGCUAGG
rnacentral:sRNA from 1 species